AGCCUUUGCGAGCCCUCUUAUAUAAAGUCCGGGCUCCCUCUGGCUCUCUCUUGGUCCUCUGUAGUCUGAAAGGUACAUCAUGAGAUUGCUGGUGUUGGACGCCUUACCUUUCCCAACCGGUUUGGGGAUGGUGAAGGAGACUACAGCAGGCCUCAAGAUACGCUUCCACUUGCUGGUCACUCCAUGGACACAGAAAAACAGGUGGUCCUGAUGAAGUGAGAGCUGUUGGUUGAAAUGCUGGAUCGGCCUUAAUAGAUGCUGCUGCUGCAGUUGGGUGACCUUCGUGUAAAGAUGCUGCUGCACUUCCCAGCUAAUCGGAGGGAUGGGCUGCUGGAAUUUCCAUGUUUGAUGACUUGGUGAGAUUGGGACAGCUCCAGAAUCUUCACACACGGUUGGCAUCUCAUGGUGAAGAGGUCGAGAUGAAGACCUGGUAAAGCUUCAGUUUGGGUCUGAUGUCUUUCCCGUGCUGUGCUCUCUGUGUCUACAGCUCUUGUGCUGGCACUGGUGUCCUGGAAGUUGUGACUGAAAAUAAAGAUGAAGUGAAUAAGUCC